rnacentral:rRNA from 1 species
GAUCCUGGCUCAGGAUGAACGCUAGCUACAGGCUUAACACAUGCAAGUCGAGGGGAACGAUAGAGAAAGCUUGCUUUUCUAGGCGUCGACCGGCGCACGGGUGAGUAACGCGUAUCCAACCUGCCCACCACUUGGGGAUAACCUUGCGAAAGUAAGACUAAUACCCAAUGACGUCUCUAGAAGACAUCUGAAAGAGAUUAAAGAUUUAUCGGUGAUGGAUGGGGAUGCGUCUGAUUAGCUUGUUGGCGGGGUAACGGCCCACCAAGGCGACGAUCAGUAGGGGUUCUGAGAGGAAGGUCCCCCACAUUGGAACUGAGACACGGUCCAAACUCCUACGGGAGGCAGCAGUGAGGAAUAUUGGUCAAUGGACGAGAGUCUGAACCAGCCAAGUAGCGUGCAGGAUGACGGCCCUAUGGGUUGUAAACUGCUUUUAUAAGGGAAUAAAGUGGGAGUCGUGACUCUUUUUGCAUGUACCUUAUGAAUAAGGACCGGCUAAUUCCGUG